UCAAAGUCUUGACGAAAGGCCAACGGGCCAAAACGUCAACUGAUGAGUCCUUGAUGGACGAAACUUUGU
rfam:Aedes albopictus isolate Foshan contig847, whole genome shotgun sequence.